rnacentral:rRNA from 1 species
UACAUAGGGUGCAAGCGUUGUCCGGAAUUAUUGGGCGUAAAGGGCCCGUAGGUGGUUCGAUACGUCGGAUAUGAAAAUCAGGGGCUCAACCCCUGACCUGCAUCCGAUACGGUCGAGCUAGAGUUUGGUAGGGGAGACUGGAAUUCCUGGUGUAGCGGUGGAAUGCGCAGAUAUCAGGAGGAACACCGAUGGCGAAGGCAGGUCUCUGGGCCAAUACUGACACUGAGGAGCGAAAGCGUGGGGAGCGAACAGG